rnacentral:lncRNA from 10 species
CAGGGAGCUGGUUCCAGGAAAGAAGGGCACAUGAGCAAACAUGAUGGCCCCUUUAUGAGAGGUAAUUUACUGAAAUGCACAGCGAUUACCUGCUCACCCAGCCCUGAUGUAAUUAAAAAUGGCAGGCUAGGGGCUCUGUUUCCCCCGGCUCUGGCAGAGAAACCUGGGUUUCGACUUGUGAAGCUUGAGGUUGGAUGUGGGAAUUGGCUUGGAGUCAUAGGCGAUGAGAGGGACAUUAGGAUAUUAUGAAGCCCGUGAACUCAACUCCUGAGAAGGACGCAGCAGAGCGAGAGAAAAGAUGGAAUAAAAAGGCCUACCUCAUUGGGCUCGUGUGGGUGAGGAGAACUGAAGAGUCUGAGAGCGCGGCACGAGCCAGAGGCUACGGAAAACACUGCCCUCCUACACUCCACCUUGGAGAGACCCAGAAAAGAACAAGCUUCAUUUGUAAAAAAGGAAAACAACUCAGGCAAUGGGGGUGGCUUAAAGGCACUCUACAGUGUGCAGAUGCCUUCCACUUCUUCCAUCUGCCCUGUCUCUCCAAGAACCCCUAUGGCCCCGGUCUCAGAACAGAGCUGAGUGCAGAAAUGAAAAUCUAUGGCUCUGUGUUCCAAAACGAUGAAGAAUUUCAAGAUGGUGGCAGUGGUAAAAUCUUUCUCCAGGAAAAAUCUGUCCUUGGCCCAAUGUGUAAACACUUGCUGAGUAUUGUGAAACCAGCAACUUGUUCACAAUUCUUCUGAAUUUCUUGGGAAAUUUGAAGUGGAGUACCUGUACCAACAUGAAAUGACACGAAUUUAAGUGACGCUCAACAACGAAAAGCAAAAAGAACCAAAGAGGAAGCAACUGAAACAACAUCUGGAUGUAUUUAAAAAUAUACAAUGCCUCCAAAAUCAGGUGUCAUUAAUGAAAAUUCUGAAGAAAUGCCACCGGACAUAGCCAACGCACCUACGCUGUUGUUAUUCAUUUCCUGCUUUUCACAGAAAACAAUUUUGUUGCAUGGAAGAUCGUGAACUUCAAAGGGCAGAGGGGAAACUGUCCCUUGGCCUCUACCCCUCCAAGGCCCCACUUUUUUGUCAACACUCCUUGGACGCAGCAGAAGUAUGAACAUAAUAUGGUCCUGAAUGAGGCUGAGUCUUUGGGCGCAGAAGACCCGGGUUAAUAAAAAUAGGAAGGUAAGAAAAGAAAAGAAAAAUCAAGACACAUCAUAGGACUAAAUUCCUAUUAUUUAUCCACUCAGGAUUGACCACCCCUUUGGGCCAGAUAGUUGUACCCCCAUGUACCAGGUGGGCACAUGAAGACACAAGAAGUGCUGUGAUGGUUCAUUUUGCACGUCACCUUGCGUGGAGUAUGCCAACUCAUUGUUUGGUCAAACACUAGUCUGGACAUGGUGGUAAAGGUAUUUUUUAGAUGAGAUUAACACUUAAAUCAGUAAAGCAGGUUACCCACCAUACUACGGGUGGGCCCUGUCCAAUCAGUUGAAGGCAUUAAGAACAAAGAUUGAGGUUUCCUAAAGAAGAUGGAAUUCUCCUUGAGACUACAACAUAGAAACCCUAUCUGAGUUUCCAGCCUGUUGCCCUGUGGAAUUCAAACUCAGGACUCCGGUCUAUGACAUUAACCCUCACUUAACUUUUCAGCCUGCCAGCCUGCCCUAUGGAUUUCGGACUUGCCAGCCACACAAUUCCUUAAAAUAAAUCUCUCCGUCUCUGUC